UUGUUUUGGCUAUCAUCAAUCGAUGUUUCUUUGAAGGCGUUUAACAAUAGAUGCAUAGAUGUUCAUGUCAAGCCUGAUCAGGGACCAGUCUGGAGGGCGACUUUUGUGUAUGGAGAACCAAGAAGAGAAAAUAGAUGCCAAUUUUGGGAUUUUAUCCGUUUUAUGCGAGCGCAGUGGGAUGGUCCAUGGAUCUACUGUGGGGAUUUCAACGAGGUGUUAAGCCACGACGAACAUCAAGGCCUUCGAGAUAGAACAGAUAGGCAAAUCAAUGACUUCCAACAGUGCUUAGCUAAUUGUGGCCUCAUCGACUUGGGUUAUUCUGGUCCUAAAUAUACUUGGUCUAAUCGCCAGGACUCUCACCGCCAUGUCAAAGCCCGACUAGACAGAGUU
rnacentral:rRNA from 1 species